GAGGGAAGUGGACUGGCUGCCUUGCAGGCAGAGUGGUGCACGUCCUGGAAUGAAAGUGAUGGCAGCAAGGCACCACCAGAGGAGGACGCCCUGGUGAGCAGAGCUAAUUCCCAUGACAGCCAGCAGGAGGCACCAGAGUGAGCGACAUACAAGGAGGAUCUCUGGACCUGUUGGGAGUCAGUGGAAAGAUCAGUGACUUCACUGGGCAGUCCCC